UACUUCCUCCCUGUCUGAAUCUAGUUGAUGAUCCCUGGUCUAGGGGGCUACUUCCUCCCUGUCUGAGUCUAGUUGAUGAUCCCUGGUCUAGGGGACUACUUCCUCCCUGUCUGAAUCUAGUUGAUGAUCCCUGGUCUAGGGGGCUACUUCCUCCCUGUCUGAGUCUAGUUGAUGAUCCCUGGUCUAGGGGGCUACUUCCUCCCUGUCUGAGGGGCUACUUCCUCCCUGUCUGAGUCUAGUUGAUGAUCCCUGGUCUAGGGGGCUACUUCCUCCCUGUCUGAGUCUAGUUGAUGAUCCCUGGUCUAGGGGGCUACUUCCUCCCUGUCUGAGUCUAGUUGAUGAUCCCUGGUCUA